rnacentral:lncRNA from 1 species
AAGGUACACAACUUGUGAACUAUGUGUGCUUUGAUCAGAUGAAGAAUGAAAUAACAGAAAAUCAGCUGUGUCUGGGACUCCUACAACCCCUUCCAGGGUAUGAACCCUGUGCCGUGGAACCAUGCCCAUACAGGUGGAAGAUAUCUCAGACAGAUGAAUGCUCUGCUGUUUGUGGAAGCGGCGUUGCCCAGCAGAAUCUGACCUGUGUUCAGUUUCAUAAUGGAUCGGAGACUGUUGUGGAUGACAGCUUAUGUUCUGCACGAGAAAAACCACUCUCCAUUGUGCCGUGUGUAGUUAAUGUCUGCCCUUUGGGAUGGGACAGAGUGAGUUUAUUAGCUUGGCAUUCAGGUGACCUGAGAGCUUUGCACUUGUGAUCCACAUGAGGCUAUCAGUUAGAAGGAACCGCUUUAUUAGUGGAGUCUGGGAGGGGUGGUUUACACAAAGGACAUUUAUCCAAUUAAAGGUUAAUUCUGUG